CAGUGUGACUCGUCACACUAUCAUUAACUGAAUCCAUAGGUUAAUGAGGCGAACCGGGGGAACUGAAACAUCUAAGUACCCCGAGGAAAAGAAAUCAACCGAGAUUCCCCCAGUAGCGGCGAGCGAACGGGGAGGAGCCCAGAGCCUGAAUCAGCAUGUGUGUUAGUGGAAGCGUCUGGAAAGGCGCGCGAUACAGGGUGACAGCCCCGUACACAAAAGCGCAUGUGCUGUGAGCUCGAUGAGUAGGGCGGGACACGUGGUAUCCUGUCUGAAUAUGGGGGGACCAUCCUCCAAGGCUAAAUACUCCUGACUGACCGAUAGUGAACCAGUACCGUGAGGGAAAGGCGAAAAGAACCCCGGCGAGGGGAGUGAAAAAGAACCUGAAACCGUGUAC
rnacentral:rRNA from 2 species